rnacentral:ncRNA from 1 species
ACCCUUAGUCGAGAACAGUGUCGGUCGGGGAGUUUGACUGGGGCGGUACGUCUGUCAAACGGUAACGCAGGUGUCCCAAGGCGAGCUCAGCGUGAACGGAAACCACACGUCGAGCAAAAGGGCAAAAGCUCGCUCGAUCUCGAUUUUCAGUACGAAUACGGAUCGCGAAAGCGUGGCCCAUCGAUCCUUUCCGAAUAACA